UGGAUUUUUCCUAUCCCGGGAAGAGGAAAAGACAGCAACAGCGAUUGCCUCAGUAGCGGCGAGUGCAGAGGCUAGAGUUCAGAUUUGAACUCGUGCUGUGUGCCAGGAGUAAUAGAUAGCAGGUUUGAGUCUGUGUGGAUGUCGGUGUUCAAUUCCCUUGGAACAGGGCGCCCAGGAGGGUGAGAGCCCCGGGGGAGACCUGCCGAACCAAUGAGACCCUUCUUAGGAGUGGAGUUGUUUGGGAAUGCAGAUCCAAGCGGGUGGUAAAUUCCAUAUAAGGAUAAAUAUUGGGGAGAGAGCGAUAGAGAACAAGUGCUCUGAAGGAAAGAUGAAAAGCACUCGAAAAGAGAGUGAAACAGCACGUGAAAUUGUUGAAAGGGAAGGGUAUUGCGCCCGACAUGGGGAUUGCGCACCGCUGCCUUUUGGGGCGGCGCUCUACAGUUCCCGGGCCAGCAUCAGUUCUUGCGGCAGGAGAAGGGGUUAGGAAACGUGCCUUUUUUGAGUAGAUAGCCAGGUCCAGAUGGAGCGUGCCAGGACAGAGGGAUGCGUCCGGUUCGGCACUAAGACUGUGGAA
rnacentral:rRNA from 1 species